rnacentral:rRNA from 1 species
UAGGGAAUCUUCCACAAUGGACGAAAGUCUGAUGGAGCAACGCCGCGUGAGCGAAGAAGGGUUUCGGCUCGUAAAACUCUGUUGUAAGAGAAGAAUGACAUUGAGAGUAACUGUUCAAUGCGUGACGGUAUCUUACCAGAAAGGAACGGCUAAAUACGUGCCAG